rnacentral:lncRNA from 1 species
GAACCUGGGCCUGUUAGUGGGUUUAGGACACUCUUUUUGAUUGAAAAUGGGCGCUGAAGGGGUUGUCCAGAGGCGAGAGGGCAUACCGUUUAAAAUAGUAAGAGUAAAUUUUAGAUGGCUACAAAAAACUGAUGGGCAGAUUCCAUGGUUGAAGGCACCACCCUUGUGCUCAUCAGGAUUUAGUCUUGCGCUCUUGUGUUCUAGCUCUGUGAUCUGGUAUAAAUCACUUUACAUCCUUUGGGCAUCCUCCUUAGCUUUUUUAAGUUUCAGUAAGCUACGGAUAUUGGUGCUUCUCCUAUGUCCCUACACAGGGAUAGAGUGUGAAUUGGAUGAAAGAACUUUGUAUAUGACAUAGAACAGUAUAGGUCUUAAUAUUAUGAUUAGGACUAAUCUUAAUAUUAGUGCUACUGUAGUUAAUUAAAUUAUAACAGUAGUAAAGAAGUUGAUCGUAAGAGCAGAAUGUGCUUUAGUUACUUGAUUGAGUAGAUUUCAAAAAGUGUCAACACUACUUUUUAAAACAAACCAAAGAGGACAGGAAAGUGGACCAGGGAAAGGAGAGGACUUUAAUGUGCCAGAGCUAACAACAGUGCCUGAUGCACAUAGAUGAAUAAAAUGUGCAACUUGAAUGAAUGUGCUGGGGCGAUAUUUAAAUUACUUUAACUUUCUUCUUUAUACUUUUUGUUUUUUCCAAGUUUGAUACAAGGAGGAUAUAUUAAUUUGAAAAUCAUUAACACCACAGUUUAAAAAAAAAACACAAGGAGUUUUGACCCACUGGCACAGUAGAUUAGAAAUCCAGCUGCAGUGGCUCAGGUCACUGCAGAGUCAUGGGUUUGAUUUCUGGUCCAGCACAGUGGAUUAAAGGAUUUGACUUUGCUGCAGCUGUGGUAUAGGUUGAAGCUGUGGCUGGGAUUCAGUCCUAUGAACUGAACUUCAUAUGCCAUGGGUGUGGCCAUAAAAAAUAAAGAAAACGUAAUAAAUAACAUGGCAGAUGAGCAUACCAUAGAGAUAGCUGGAAAUAGUAGCAGUGAUUGGUAGAGGAGGAGACUUGGGGAUGAUGAAAAGAGUGCACAUUUUUUGGACAUUUUUGUGUUAGACAUGAUAAGUGCUUUAUAUACUUAAUUGUAUAUGAUCCUCUUAACAAGUCUGUAUGGUAGAUGCCAGUAUAAUGGUAGAUGCCAGUAUAAUGGUAGAUGCCACUGAUGAGGAAAUGGGCACAAGAGAUUUCCAGUGUAUUUCCCAAGUCUUAUAGUGGUUGGUGGCCAAAUCAGGAUUCAAAUCUAAUUGGUAUGACUCUAAAAUCUGUGUCUUAACACUUGAGCUAUGUUAAAUUCUGAAAUAACGUGGACAGCUUCCCAUCUUGAAAGUAACUGUCAUGAACUGCUAUUCUAAAUUCAAGCAAGUACAGAAACAGUUCAAAAUAGCCCAACAUAUUAUUAAGCUCACUCACUAAUUAAUGAACUGUGCCUUGAACCUCUGUAUCUUCUUCCCUCUAAACUACAUACUGUAUGCCAGGUUACUCUUAUAAUUUACUAAAUUGUCCAAUAAUCUGAUGCUUCUAACUUUUUUUAAUAGUUAUUUCCCCAAUACAAUUUUUUUUUCUACUGUACAGCAUGGUAACCCAGUUACACAUACAUGUAUACAUUCUAUUUUCACAUAUCAUGCUCCAUCAUAAGUGACUAGACAUAGUUCCCAGUGCUACACAGCAGGAUCUCAUUGCUAAUCCAUUCCAAAGGCAAUAGUUUGUAUCUGUUAACCCCAAGCUCCCCCACUCCCUCCCCCUCCCCCUGCCCCUCCCCCUUGGCAACCACAAGUCUAUUCUGCAAGUCCAUGAUUUUCUUUUCUGUGGAAAGGUUCAUUUGUGCCUUAUAUUAAAUUCCAGAUAUACAUGAUAUCAUAUGGUAUUUGUGUUUCUCUUUCUGACUUACUUUACUCAGUAUGACAAAGGAGGCAAGAACAAAAUGGGAAAAAGACAGUCUUUUCAGCAAGCAUUGCUGGGAAACCUGGACAGCUUCAUGUAAAUCAAUGAAACUAGAACACACCCUGACACCAUGCAUGAAUAUAAACUCAAAAUGGCUGAAAGACUUAAAUAUAAGACAAGACGCCAUCAAACUCCUGGAAGAGAACAUAGGCAAAAACAUUCUCUGACAUCAACCUUACAAAUGUUUUCUCAGGUCAGUCUCCCAAAGUAACUUUUUAUCAGCUAGAAGCGUGCCUCUGGUAUCUCCUACUAGGACUCUGAAAGGGCUAAACUUUGUUUGCCUCUCUUCGUACCUAUGUCUUCCCCAACUCAGGGGUGCACCAAAACUUAAAGUACCCCUUUAAGAUAAUGACUGCACAAUUAUAAGUCCAAAAUGAAAUAAGGAAUCAAUAUUUAUUUAAAAUAAAAAGAAAUAAUAAUUAUAUUUUUUAAAAGCUGGCAAAUACCUUAGCACCUUGCAUUACUAAGGUCACUCUCCAGUCUUUGCAAAUGGCCCAUGCAAAUAAAAAAUGCAGUCUCUAUAUCUGCCCCAGCUCCCUUCUAAGAGCAACUGAACAUUGUUGUAACACAACUCCUGUCAACUCCUCCAGUCCAAAAGGAAAGAGCAGUGAUGAAAGGCUUUCUUUUUUUGGUCCACACAUAACAUAAAAUAAGAAAUUAAUAAUUUAAAAGUUAACACAACAAACAUAAACAAAGAUUGGUCAGAGUAAAACUUGAAGAUGCAUUUGAUAUCAGAUAAACCAAAAAGAAAGGGCAAGACCAAGGAGCAGGUAUAAUGUUACAGGCUCACGCCCACAUUGUGUACAUUAACAGAGGGUCAUCUAAAGAGUUAUUCUGUAAUGCCUAAAGAGUGAGGUUGGACUCCUACAUAUUACUAAAGCUAGGGGAAUUACUAAGCAGAGUGUCUCUAGCAUCUCCAUUUUUCCUUAAUUCCUCCUGAGUUGAUAGGGCAGUUCUUGAUCUUUUCUACUACCCUCGAGCACCAAAUGGUCAUACUUAAAUUGUCCUCUUAAUGAUUUCCCAGGAGGUUGAACUUGACCAUACAGCGAGGUAAAGUAGUUCAGAUAUCAGUGACAUAGAGGGGAAUCAAGAUUAUCUUCCAUAUCUCAUCAUUUAUAAAAAAAAAA